GGGCCCGCACAAGCGGUGGAGCAUGUGGUUCAAUUCGACGCAACGCGAAGAACCUUACCCAGGCUUGAACAGCGAGUGACCAUCUACGAAAGUAGACUUCCGCAAGGACACUCGUAGAGGUGCUGCAUGGCUGUCGUCAGCUCGUGUCGUGAGAUGUUGGGUUAAGUCCCGCAACGAGCGCAACCCUUGUCUGCUGUUGCCAUCACGUUAUGGUGGGCACUCUGCAGAGACUGCCGGUGAUAAACCGGAGGAAGGUGGGGAUGACGUCAAGUCAGCAUGGCCUUUAUGUCUGGGGCUACACACGUGCUACAAUGGCCGAUACAAACCGUCGCGAUACCGCAAGGUGGAGCUAAUCGGAGAAAGUCGGUCUCAGUUCGGAUCGUAGGCUGCAACUCGCCUGCGUGAAGUUGGAAUCGCUAGUAAUCGCGGAUCAGCACGCCGCGGUGAAUACGUUCCCGGGCCUU
rnacentral:rRNA from 1 species